UGCAUGCUUUUACAGUAUGAAAAUUGGUGAUUUAUAAUAACUUAGCAAAUCGCAAAGUGAAAACAGGCGAUAAAUCAUUCAAGUUUCUGACCUAUCAGCUUUCGACGGUAUGGUAUUGGCUUACCGUGGCAGUGACGGUUAACGGGGGAUUAGGGUUCGAUUCCGGAGAGGGAGCCUGAGAAACGGCUACCACAUCUAAGGAAGGCAGCAGGCGCGCAAAUUACCCAAUUCUAACAGUUUGAGAGAGGUAGUAACAAGAAAUAACAAUACAAGGCAGUUAAAAUGCUUUGUAAUUGGAAUGAUAGAAAUUUAAACCCUUUUUAAAGUAUCAAUUGGAGGGCAAGUCUGGUGCCAGCAGCCGCGGUAAUUCCAGCUCCAAUAGCGUAUAUUAAAAUUGUUGCAGUUAAAAAGCUCGUAGUUGAAGUUCUGCUAAAAGUAACCGGUCUGCUUUGAAUAAAAGUGGUAUCUUGGUAUGUAUUUAGCAAUGAUGUCCUUUGAAGUGUUUUUUACUUUAUUGUAAUAAAGCAUAUUCAGGACUUUUACUUUGAGAAAAUUAGAGUGUUUCUAGCAGGCCAACGCUUUGAAUACUGCAGCAUGA
rnacentral:rRNA from 1 species